rnacentral:lncRNA from 1 species
CAUUUUAAUAUGAAUUUAUUUCACCCAUAAUUUUUUUCUUUCUAAUUUACUAUGACUUUAUCACACAAGAUUACAAUAGCUCAAGCACACAAGCAAGAGACUUCACCACAAUGCUCAAACACACAAGCAAGAGACUUCUCAAACUUACAAAAGUAAAUAAAGUUCGUUGAUUGUAAUACAAAUGCUCUUAAGAGAACCUUUAAAAUCAAAUACAAAGAGUACACAAAAAGACUUCAGAGUAUUUAGACUAAGAAUGAGUUUUCUCGGUUCAGAGGUUCAGAGCUUGUAUUAGCAGAUGAGAGAUUGUUCGUGCGUGUGUUAUAUCUUGUGUUAUUAUUUGCACUCUGCUUCUUCUAGUAUAUAUAACUGAGAAAGAGUCGUUGCAAAAGUAACCGUUGGUGGAGAUAACCUUUUGUCUUCAUGCAUCUGUCUUGAUGCAGUUUGGUCGUUACUAAAACUAAGUAAGAGUUUCAGCAACUUUGACCAUGUGCAGAGAAGACUUUCCUUAUUCAGCUAAGAAGUCAGACAAGUCACGUUCUCCCUUAUGGACAGAAGUAGCUGUUCUGAUCAAGGUUGAGAGGUCUUUUUCUUCAUUGGUAAGAGAGUUGACCUUCAAAUACGAAUCUUCACACAAUCCAAGAUAUACAUCAGAGUUUGAUUAACUUCAGACUUUAACAAGUUCUGAUGUCUUCAUCCUCUGACGCAUAUAACUUCUGAAGAUUCUUAUCUUCUGGGUUCUUGCGAAACUCUGAGAACUAACUUCUGAGCCUUCUCAGAGCUUGUCUGUAUCUAAGUUCUGCACACUUAAAAUAAAUUUUUAGUAUCUCCAAUUGUACAUUAAUAUUUUGUUAUCAUCAAAACCUUAAUAGAUUUAGGGGCAACAAUUUUUAAAUCAAUUUUGUUCCAACAUGUGUCUUUUACUUGCUUUCACUAUUUAUCAUCCUGCAUCACAAUUGUUAUACACAUUGUCUUAGACAUCAUACAAAGGAAACAAUUAUCCUAGACAACAUGUACGACAUCUGUCCUCUGAAGAACAUAAUUUGAAUUGGCUUCAGAGCAUUGAUAAAUCACUUUAUGUGAUGCUAGUUAUCCCUAUUUACUUUGAUUAUUACUUCCCAACAUGGUGAUCUACUAUUGUUAUUGAGUCAUUUUGAUAUAUUUUGAGUCUAUUGAUGUAUUUAGGAUUUAAAUCUAAUUUUUCGUUCAAAGAGGAAAUUCUG